UGCUGGGGUACACGAGUGGCGAACGGGUGAGUAACACGUGGGUGACCUGCCCUGCACUUCGGGAUAAGCCUGGGAAACUGGGUCUAAUACCGGAUAGGACCGCACNGUGAGGGUGUGGUGGAAAGUUUUUUCGGUGUGGGAUGGGCCCGCGGCCUAUCAGCUUGUUGGUGGGGUAAUGGCCUACCAAGGCGGCGACGGGUAGCCGGCCUGAGAGGGUGGACGGCCACAUUGGGACUGAGACACGGCCCAGACUCCUACGGGAGGCAGCAGUGGGGAAUAUUGCACAAUGGGCGGAAGCCUGAUGCAGCGACGCCGCGUGGGGGAUGACGGCCUUCGGGUUGUAAACUCCUUUCACCAUCGACGAAGGGUUUCUGACGGUAGAUGGAGAAGAAGCACCGGCUAACUACGUGCCAGCAGCCGCGGUAAUACGUAGGGUGCGAGCGUUGUCCGGAAUUACUGGGCGUAAAGAGCUCGUAGGUGGUUUGUCGCGUCGUCUGUGAAAUUCCGGGGCUUAACUCCGGGCGUGCAGGCGAUACGGGCAUAACUUGAGUACUGUAGGGGAGACUGGAAUUCCUGGUGUAGCGGUGAAAUGCGCAGAUAUCAGGAGGAACACCGGUGGCGAAGGCGGGUCUCUGGGCAGUAACUGACGCUGAGGAGCGAAAGCAUGGGGAGCGAACAGGAUUAGAUACCCUGGUAGUCCAUGCCGUAAACGGUGGGCGCUAGGUGUGGGUUUCCUUCCACGGGAUCCGUGCCGUAGCUAACGCAUUAAGCGCCCCGCCUGGGGAGUACGGCCGCAAGGCUAAAACUCAAAGGAAUUGACGGGGGCCCGCACAAGCGGCGGAGCAUGUGGAUUAAUUCGAUGCAACGCGAAGAACCUUACCUGGGCUUGACAUAUACAGGAUCGCGCCAGAGAUGGUGUUUCCCUUGUGGCUUGUAUACAGGUGGUGCAUGGUUGUCGUCAGCUCGUGUCGUGAGAUGUUGGGUUAAGUCCCGCAACGAGCGCAACCCUUGUCUUAUGUUGCCAGCACGUUGUGGUGGGGACUCGUAAGAAACUGCCGGGGUUAACUCGGAGGAAGGUGGGGAUGACGUCAAAUCAUCAUGCCCCUUAUGUCCAGGGCUUCACACAUGCUACAAUGGUCGGUACAGUGGGUUGCCAGUCCGUGAGGGCGAGCUAAUCCCGCAAAGCCGGUCUCAGUUCGGAUCGGGGUCUGCAACUCGACCCCGUGAAGUCNGAGUCGCUAGUAAUCGCAGAUCAGCAACGCUGCGGUGAAUACGUUCCCGGGCCUUGUACACACCGCCCGUCACGUCAUGAAAGUCGGUAACACCCGAAGCCAGUGGC
rnacentral:rRNA from 1 species